AGAGUUUGAUCCUGGCUCAGGAUGAACGCUGGCGGCGUGCCUAACACAUGCAAGUCGAACGGGCGCGGCGUGCGGCAGGGGCCUCGGCCCCUGCGGCGUCGCGCGAGUGGCGGACGGGUGAGUAACGCGUGGGCAACCUGCCCUGUACUGGGGGAUAACACCUGGAAACAGGUGCUAAUACCGCAUAAGCGCGCAGUGCCGCAUGGCACGGCGCGGAAAACCCCGGUGGUACAGGAUGGGCCCGCGUCUGAUUAGCUGGUUGGCAGGGUAACGGCCUACCAAGGCGACGAUCAGUAGCCGGCCUGAGAGGGUGGACGGCCACACUGGGACUGAGACACGGCCCAGACUCCUACGGGAGGCAGCAGUGGGGGAUAUUGCACAAUGGGGGGAACCCUGAUGCAGCGACGCCGCGUGGGUGAAGGAGCGUUUCGGCGCGUAAAGCCCUAUCGGCAGGGAAGAAGAUGACGGUACCUGACCAAGAAGCCCCGGCUAACUACGUGCCAGCAGCCGCGGUAAUACGUAGGGGGCAAGCGUUAUCCGGAUUUACUGGGUGUAAAGGGGGCGCAGACGGCAAUGCAAGCCAGGAGUGAAAGCCCGGGGCCCAACCCCGGGACUGCUCUUGGAACUGCAUGGCUGGAGUACAGGAGGGGCAGGCGGAAUUCCUAGUGUAGCGGUGAAAUGC
rnacentral:rRNA from 1 species